rnacentral:rRNA from 1 species
UGUGAACUGCCAGGGACACAUGAACAUCGACAUUUCGAACGCACAUUGCGGUCCACGGAUCUCGUUCCCGGACCACGCCUGGCUGAGGGUCGUUUAUAAAAACGAACCCGACUGCUCUCUCGCAAGAGAGAGCGUUGAUCUGGGCGCUCGUCUCUAUCUCCUACGGCGCGCUCUUUCGAGAGUGUCGCAGGCAGUGUGAUACGUCGCCUCAAACGAAACGCAAGAAAAUUGAUGAAUUCGUUCGUCUAGCUGGCGAGCGCGCUUACCGCUUGGAGAGUACGCGAGUACUUCCGAUCGUUCUGCGUCGAGUCCCGGAGCUUUCUCGCACACGACUACUCGUCGCGUCGAGCACAGCGGACCGACGUCUAGCACACGAUCAGGCUCGUCCAUGCAUCGGUCAUUGAAUGCGCGCGUGCCUUGUUGUUGUUGUUGUUGUUGUUGUGUGUAUCAACAACAGCAGCAGCAGCAGCAGAAAAAUGCUAGCUCGAAGCAAAAACGAGUCUCGAUCGACGACCUCAGAGCAGGCAAGAC